UUGAAAGCGGGAUUGUGGGUACUGAAGCGGAUCAGAUCAUAACAGCGCUGGAUGUCUUCAUAAAAUCACCGCAGUUUAAUGCAUUCUUGUUGUUGCAAACAAUGAGCAGAUUCAACCGACUGAAGAAGCUUAUUAAUGAGGAAACCUCGAAAAGAAACGCCCUGAAGCUCAUAAAGUGGCUUCACAAGAGGAAACUGCUCAAGAAAAAAGUCACAUGCAGAAUAUGCUGUCAGGACAUGAAACUGAAAAGGAGGACGAACAGUGGAGAUGUAUAUGCUUGGACCUGUCGCCAAGCAGCACACAUGGGAAAGGAAAAACAAAUAUGUGUCAGGCACAAGCCAAUCUUCAGUCAUUCAAAGGUCUCCCUCAGUAACUGGAUGCAGUUCAUUUACAGAUUUUCUCAGGGUCUACGAUUACGACAGAUUGAUAUGAUGGAUGACACAAUUGCAGCCAGUUCAACAACUCUCACUAAAAUGGCAAAAAAAUAAGGGAGGUCUGUGUCACAGCAGUUGAAAGGAUGAGAAGGCGUACAGGCCAGCAGAUUGUUGGAAGAGGGGAGUUUGUUGUGAUCGAUGAGAGCCAUUUUCGGCACAAAAGAAAGUAUGGGAGAGGAAGAAUGGCUGGUGGGUGGAAAAGAAAGAAGUGGGUCUUUGGGAUGAUAGGUGUGAGGCAUCAUCAAGGACGAAGAAAGCCUAUUCUACGUCUUGUGGAGAGAAGAUCUCGAAGACAUCUAGUCCCCUUGAUUGCCCACCAUGUGAGGCUUGGAUCUUCAGUUAUCAGUGACGAGUGGCGUGCCUAUCGCGUACUCUGUGCACUAGGGUACAACCAUCACACUGUCAACCACAGCAGGUGGUAUGUAGAUCCCCAAACUGGAGCCCAUAGCCAGCAUCUUGAGAGGGCUGGAGAUCCUACAAGGAGCAGAUCUGGAGGCUCAGGGGAAAUCGCACUGACACUUUGCUUUCUGACCACCUUUCAGUGAUUGAGUGGAAUGAAUGGCUCGCAAAGAAACACCGUGAUGGUACAUUUGGCAGACUGAUUCAUGACAUUUCCAAAAACUACAAGUAGUCAUAUGCAGUCACGAACCAUUGUUGGCAAGAAUUUGUCUUUCUGUGGGAGAUGGCUGAGACAAAUUCAAAGGAAUCAGUGUACUGUGUUUUUGUAGCGUCAUAAAAUGACAUUUCCUGUAUUAUUUUAUCAUGUGUUGAGUCUGUCUCAAAUAAUUUUGAGACUUUUCUUUGAGAUAGGAUUUCAAAUGUAUGUUGAAUUAUGACACUGACAUAUUUUCUGACUUUAUUUUUUGAUACUGAAACAUUUUAUAUUUUAUAUUAAGAUUUUAUUUGUAGCACUUGAAACUUCUGUGAUCCACUGUUGGUGUUGGCGAGUUUUUAUUCAGCCAUGUUUACGCUUGUACGUCUUUUUAAAUCAACAGUUCCGUUGUACAGUUCCAAUAUGUUGAGAAGUUGCAAUA